rnacentral:lncRNA from 1 species
GGUGAGGAGGCAUACUGGGAGACCCGAUGGCGCAGACAAAGCUCUCGUGUGAACUCUGUGAUUUUAAUUCUUUCUGUAAUUCUUGUGAAAUGUAUUCUUGAGAUUCGUGCUGUGAUUCUUGUGAAAUAUGUGAUUAUGAUUCUUACUGUGAUUCAUGUGAUUGUGAAUUUUUUUAAUUCUGGUGAAAUACGUAUGCGCGCAAGGAAUUUGUGAUUGUGAUUCUUGGAGAAGCAGGUGCUUUUGGAAGCUGGAGCAGUGGUAUAAACAACCGGUACUAAA